UUGAUGUCGCGGAGAAUAAGGUAUUAUUUAUUUAUUUAUUCAAAUCGCCUUCUGUCGCCGAGAGCCUCUCGGCGAGAGGCACUCGCCGAGUGCCUCUCAGAUUAUUGACAUGUGUUGUACCAUUCUAAUCCGAAUACAUUUCAAGGUAACUCUUGGUUACUUCUUAUUCACAUUUCAUUACAGGUGAAAUGUCGAAUUUGCCGGGUCGAAUUGUCAUACACCAACAGAAGCACCUCCACCAUGCUGAGGCAUUAUCGGGCCAAGCAUGAGAAUGAUGUUCGCGAUACACCCAGUAUUACGCCAGGUUCCAGGAAGCAGCUGUACUGGAAGGACCAACACACUUCUUUCCCAAACCUCUCCCACCUCGCAAAGGAGUUCCUUUGUACGCCAGCCUCAUCCGUCCCUUGUGAGCGUGUGUUCUCCACAGCAGGAGAAAUCGCUUGUAAAAGACUCAACAGGCUGAAGUUUAAAACAUUGGAGCAUCUUAUUUUUCUCAAUAAAAAUUUGUGAAAUAAAAGCCCACAAGCAUCCUCAUUCAAA